rnacentral:rRNA from 1 species
CCCUUAGAUGAUUUGGGCUGCACGCGCGCUACACUGACCCUAACAAUGAGCAACUGUCUGGCCUGAGAUGGCUGGGUAGCCUUUUCAACCCAUGUCAUGAUUGGGCUAGAUUUUUGUAAGUCUUGAUCUCUAACGAGGAAUCCCUAGUAUGCGUGAAUCAUCAAUCCAUGCAGAUUAUGUCCCUGCCCUUUGUACACACCGCCCGUCGCUCUUACUGAUUGGGUGAUCCGGUGAGCUGUUCGGCCAUAGCAAUGUUUCUUGAGCAGGGCAAUGAAUGUUUCGCAAACCUUGCCACUUAGAGGAAGGAGAAGUCGUAACA